GUUAUAUGAUCAAGUGAAUAAGCGUAUAUGGUGGAUGCCUUGGCAGUAAGAGGCGAUGAAGGACGUAGUAACUUGCGAUAAGCCUCGGGGAGCUGGUAAACAAGCUUUGAUCCGAGGAUUUCCGAAUGGGGAAACCCGGCUAUCUUUGAUAGUCACUCCUACCUGAAUACAUAGGGUAGGUAGAGCGAACCUGGAGAACUGAAACAUCUAAGUACCCAGAGGAAAAGAAAUCAACCGAGAUUCCCUUAGUAGCGGCGAGCGAACGGGGAUUAGCCCAUAAGCUAUAUUAGUUUUAACAGAACAGUCUGGAAAGUCUGGCCAUAGAGGGUGAUAGCCCCUUAUGUGAAAAAGCUUUUAUAGUGAUAUCGAGUAGGGCGGGACACGUGAAAUCCUGUUUGAAUAUGGGGGGACCAUCCUCCAAGGCUAAAUACUCCUUACUGACCGAUAGUGAACUAGUACCGUGAGGGAAAGGCGAAAAGAACCCCGGAGAGGGGAGUGAAAUAGAUCCUGAAACCGUAUACGUACAAGCAGUGGGAGCAGACUUGUUCUGUGACUGCGUACCUUUUGUAUAAUGGGUCAGCGACUUACUUCUCAGUAGCAAGGUUAACCGUUUAGGGGAGCCGUAGGGAAACCGAGUCUUAAUAGGGCGCAUAGUUGCUGGGAGUAGACCCGAAACCGAGCGAUCUAUCCAUGGUCAGGGUGAAGGUGGGGUAAAACCUACUGGAGGCCCGAACCCACUUAUGUUGAAAAAUGAGGGGAUGAACUGUGGAUAGGAGUGAAAGGCUAAUCAAGCUCGGAGAUAGCUGGUUCUCUUCGAAAGCUAUUUAGGUAGCGCCUCGUGUAUCACUCUAGGGGGUAGAGCACUGUUUCGGCUAGGGGGUCAUCCCGACUUACCAACCCGAUGCAAACUCCGAAUACCUAGAAGUGCAAUCACGGGAGACACACGGCGGGUGCUAACGUCCGUCGUGGAGAGGGAAACAACCCAGACCGCCAAUUAAGGUCCCAAAGUUAUAGUUAAGUGGGAAACGAUGUGGAAAGGCAUAGACAGCCAGGAGGUUGGCUUAGAAGCAGCCAUCCUUUAAAGAAAGCGUAAUAGCUCACUGGUCGAGUCGGUCUGCGCGGAAGAUUUAACGGGGCUAAACUAUACACCGAAAUUGCGGAUGCGAGUAAUUAGCAAUAAUUGCACGCAUGGUAGAAGAGCGUUCUGUAAGCCGUUGAAGGUGAACUGUAAGGUUUGCUGGAGGUAUCAGAAGUGCGAAUGCUGACAUGAGUAACGAUAAUGGGGGUGAAAAACCCCCACGCCGAAAGACCAAGGUUUCCUGCUCAACGCUAAUCGGAGCAGGGUGAGUCGGCCCCUAAGGCGAGGCAGAAAUGCGUAGUCGAUGGGAAGCAGGUUAAUAUUCCUGCACCACGCAAUAUUGCGAUGGGAUGACGGAGAAAGCUACACCAGCCAACUGUUGGAUAUGUUGGUUCAAGCAUGUAGGGAGAGAACUUAGGAAAAUCCGGGUUCUCACUAUCCUGAGGUGCGAUAACGAGUCCUCUUUUGGACGAAGUGGUCGAUGCUAUGCUUCCAAGAAAAGUCUCUAAGCUUCAGAUAUUGUUGUGACCGUACCCCAAACCAACACAGGUGGUCAGGGUGAGAAUCCUAAGGCGCUUGAGAGAACUCGGGUGAAGGAACUAGGCAAAAUGGCACCGUAACUUCGGGAGAAGGUGCGCCCCUUGUAUGUGAUCGAAUUUACUUCGUGAGCAGAAGGGGGCCGCAGUGAAAUGGUGGCUGCAACUGUUUACUAAAAACAUAGCACUCUGCAAACUCGUAAGAGGACGUAUAGGGUGUGACGCCUGCCCGGUGCCGGAAGGUUAAUUGAUGGGGUUAGCACUUGUGCGAAGCUCUUGAUCGAAGCCCCGGUAAACGGCGGCCGUAACUAUAACGGUCCUAAGGUAGCGAAAUUCCUUGUCGGGUAAGUUCCGACCUGCACGAAUGGCGUAAUGACGGCCACUCUGUCUCCACCCGAGACUCAGUGAAAUUGAAAUCGCUGUUAAGAUGCAGUGUACCCGCGGCUAGACGGAAAGACCCCGUGCACCUUUACUACAGCUUUGCAUUGAUCUCUGAAUCUAUCUGUGUAGGAUAGGUGUGAGGCUUUGAAACUUGGACGCUAGUUCAGGUGGAGCCAUCCUUGAAAUACCACCC
rnacentral:rRNA from 1 species